CUACGGGUCGCUGCAGUGAGGAAUAUUGCACAAUGGGGGCAACCCUGAUGCAGCAACGCCGCGUGGAGGAUGACGCAUUUCGGUGUGUAAACUCCUUUUAUCAGAGAAGAACCAUGACGGUAUCUGAUGAAUAAGCUCCGGCUAACUCCGUGCCAGCAGCCGCGGUAAUACGGAGGGAGCAAGCGUUAUUCGGAAUCACUGGGCGUAAAGGACGCGUAGGCCGGUCUGUAAGUCAGGUGUGAAAUGCAAUGGCUCAACCAUUGAACUGCACUUGAAACUGCGGACCUAGAGUAUGGAAGGGGCAGAUGGAAUUAGUGGUGUAGAGGUAAAAUCCGUAGAUAUCACUAGGAAUACCGAAAGCGAAGGCGAUCUGCUGGGACAUAACUGACGCUGAGGCGUGAAAGCGUGGGGAGCAAACAGGAUUAGAUACCCUGGUAGUC
rnacentral:rRNA from 1 species